GACGAACGCUGGCGGCGUGCUUAACACAUGCAAGUCGAACGGAAAGGCCCUGCUUUUGUGGGGUGCUCGAGUGGCGAACGGGUGCGUAACACGUGAGUAACCUGCCCUUGACUUUGGGAUAACUUCAGGAAACUGGGGCUAAUACCGGAUAGGAGCUCCUGCUGCAUGGUGGGGGUUGGAAAGUUUCGGCGGUUGGGGAUGGACUCGCGGCUUAUCAGCUUGUUGGUGGGGUAGUGGCUUACCAAGGCUUUGACGGGUAGCCGGCAUGAGAGGGUGACCGGGCACAUUGGGACUGAGAGACGGACCAGACUCCUACGGGAGGCAGCAGUGGGGAAUAUUGCACAAUGGGCGGAAGCCUGAUGCGGCAACGCCGCGUGCGGGAUGACGGCCUUCGGGUUGUAAACCGCUUUCGCCUGUGACGAAGCGUGAGUGACGGUAAUGGGUAAAGAAGCACCGGCUAACUACGUG
rnacentral:rRNA from 1 species